CUCGACAGCCAUACCACCCCGAACACACCUGAUCUUGUUUGAUCUCAGAAUCUAAUGUAGGGAUGGCAUUUAUCUCUAUUUGCCAGAUUUUUGCAGGGA
rnacentral:rRNA from 1 species